GUCCCCGUCGUUCAAUGGAUAGGACAGAAGUUUCCUAAACUUUAAAUCCAGGUUCGACUCCUGGCGGGGACA
rnacentral:tRNA from 1 species